GGACGGGUUAUCACCCCUCCCACUUGUUUGAGGUUUGGCCAAUGGCCGGGCACCUGUUGCGUAUAAAGAGCACGGGCUACCAGUUCAUUGAUGUGCGUCAUUUUCCGGGGCCGUGACGUCAUCUGCGCGCCCUGCUGUUUUCAUUGCUGGAGUGCAGUGUUGACUGUGUUGAUCGUAAAGACCGCUAAAGCUGCUUAUCCACUGGCUGUGCUGUCUACUGAGUGUGUACUCCUGGGAAGUCGAAUGCGGACAAUCGAGACAGUGUAAGCUCUAUCGGCGUUUCCUGCCAAUGAGUUUUGUCGGAGACAUUUGGCUCCAUCCACCGCAUAGUUUGGGAUAGUGAUCCUGGGACAGCAUGCUUUGCUGCAUGCGCUAAGGGCA